AAUGACAUUAGAUAGGAUAAACCACCAUGUUUUACAACGACAAGCAGCGACUGCUUUGUCUGGGCCAAAAAGGGUAUGGCAUAUUAUAUCUUUCUCCAAUUGCUUUUCUUUCUGUUUUCUUUCUUAUCCUUGAUGUUUUGGUAUGGAAUCCCCCCGACCGGUUAGUUCUAGAGGUACUGGGCUUGGAUUCUUUCUCGGUUCUCCUCCCACCACAGCUUGGCGUGCACCUCCCCGAACCUCUCUCGGCUGCACGACCACCAAACCCGUGAGAUGCGCAGGGCGUGAGAUUGUUGAUGUAAACACAUGUACUGA
rnacentral:lncRNA from 1 species